rnacentral:lncRNA from 1 species
AUGGGACCCAGUCUGGCACCAGACUGAGACUCCAAAGGAAGAUAGACUGUCAGUAUUCACAAGGCGGAUAAUCCACGGACCUUCAAACUUCCUUUAUGCCUCUUUCUGAAGCACAUUAAGCCCAGCUGCAUCUGGUAUUCCAGGUGAGUAUCCACUAUAGAUAUCCCCUAAGAAGAAAGAUCACUUAGCAAAGACUCUCUUUUGCUUCUCUUUUUAUUAUUAUUAUUAUUAUUUUUUUUUGACAGAGUCUCACUCUGUUGC